rnacentral:rRNA from 1 species
GACGAACGCUGGCGGCGUGCCUAAUACAUGCAAGUUGAGCGAUGAAGAUUGGUGCUUGCACCAAUUUGAAGAGCAGCGAACGGGUGAGUAACGCGUGGGGAAUCUGCCUUUGAGCGGGGGACAACAUUUGGAAACGAAUGCUAAUACCGCAUAACAACUUUAAACAUAAGUUUUAAGUUUGAAAGAUGCAAUUGCAUCACUCAAAGAUGAUCCCGCGUUGUAUUAGCUAGUUGGUGAGGUAAAGGCUCACCAAUGCGAUGAUACAUAGCCGACCUGAGAGGGUGAUCGGCCACAUUGGGACUGAGACACGGCCCAAACUCCUACGGGAGGCAGCAGUAGGGAAUCUUCGGCAAUGGACGAAAGUCUGACCGAGCAACGCCGCGUGAGUGAAGAAGGUUUUCGGAUCGUAAAACUCUGUUGGUAGAGAAGAACGUUGGUGAGAGUGGAAAGCUCAUCAAGUGACGGUAACUACCCAGAAAGGGACGGCUAACUACGUG